AUGGGUUGGCGGCCACAGCUGGACCUUUAUAAAUCACGGUCACGGACACGUCUACCUACCAACAACCCACACACGCGCCGCGCUCGGCACAAGUCCCACAGCCACACUGCACUGGACACACGGUCGCGCACGCGGCGCCGCGGAGAGGCGAGGACACAGACGGGGGAGGCGGCGAUGGUAGAAGGCGGCAGCGGCGCGGGUGCUACGUCGACCUGCCGGCGCGGCGGCGGUGGAGGCGGCAUCGUCGGCCCGGCGGCCCGGCGGUGCUGCGGCGGCGGGUGCGGGCUCGGGCGUCUCGUCCGGCGGCUGCGGCGGCAGGGGAGGCAGGCGCUGUGCGCGGCCAGGCCGGCGGCGGCGUCGUCGUCUUCGUCGGCGGCCGCGGCGCUCCGGGGCUGCCAGUACGACCCGCUGAGCUACGCGCGCAACUUCGACCAGAGCGGCUUCGGCGACCCGGACCCGGACGCGGACGCGGCCAGCCUCUACUACAGCUACACCUUCUCCUCCCGCUUCGUGCUCGCGCCAGGCAGCGCCACCUCGUCCUCAACCGCCGUCGCGGCCGUCGUCCCCGCGCCGAACGGUCUCGUCGUCGCCAGCCGGCCAACCGCCGCCAGCCAUUAG
rnacentral:rRNA from 1 species